rnacentral:lncRNA from 1 species
UUCUAUAUUACAACAUCUACAAGCAACGCACCACCUGUCCAAACGCAUAAUUCAUGUCAUCACGAACCAUACAAGUAGAGGCAAUUAGACCAUGAUACUAAAAGUGUCAUUUACUAAGCUAAACAAUGUUAUUUUUGUAUUAUUCAAAGUGUCAUUUCAACACAAAUGCCUAAACCCAAAUCAGCUAUGAUUAAUAUCAUACACAAAUCAUAUAAUGUAGAAACGCAAGAAUAAUCAAUAUCAAUACCACUCGAGGAUGACGAAUCACUACUUGAGCUGCCAGAACUGCUCGAGCUACUGCUGCCAUUCCCUCGACCAUUAUUCUCCUGCUCAUGAUCCUGGCCCACGACCACACCACCACCUAGGUCUUCAUCUUUCUCAAUCUCAAUUUCCACAUGAUCUUAAGACCGGGCUGCAUAUCGGCGGCUCAAGGUAGAGCGGCGACGUGGCUGUUGUUCUCACGAGCAAAGGACGAAGGGCGGCGCAACGCCCAAAACGUCGCCAGACGGGGCGGGGCGGCGGUCGGAGCUGUAAGCGUCUUGUUUAGCAAUAGAUUCGGGGCUCGCCACCCAGACCGCUUCCCAGCGGCCUCUGCUCGACGCUAAACACCGUCCUCAGAAACACCGCCGCUCCUCUGGACUUUUCGCCGGAGAACGGAGCUUCUGCGGUUGAGAACGCGGUCCGCCGCCUACUGCUCUUCACGCCGCAGAUCUGAAACGCGCCGCCAACCGUUGAUCCACCGACUGAAACACACCUCUCCACCAUCUGCAGUAAUGCCAGAUCUAAAAUUCCACCUGCUGGAACUACGCCUCGAGCGACCUCGACGUGUGGCUGUGCGUCGCCAUGGACAAGCAAGUGCAAGUCCUCAACCUCAACCUCACAAAAUCCGACGAAAACAUCAAUCGAUAUCGCGACGAUGACAUCGACAACGA